rnacentral:rRNA from 1 species
CGCCUGGGGAGUGCGGCCGCAAGGUUAAAACUCAAAUGAAUUGACGGGGGCCCGCACAAGCGGUGGAGCAUGUGGUUUAAUUCGAUGCAACGCGAAGAACCUUACCUACUCUUGACAUCCAGAGAACUUAGCAGAGAUGCUUUGGUGCCUUCGGGAACUCUGAGACAGGUGCUGCAUGGCUGUCGUCAGCUCGUGUUGUGAAAUGUUGGGUUAAGUCCCGCAACGAGCGCAACCCUUAUCCUUUGUUGCCAGCGAUUCGGUCGGGAACUCAAAGGAGACUGCCGGUGAUAAACCGGAGGAAGGUGGGGAUGACGUCAAGUCAUCAUGGCCCUUACGAGUAGGGCUACACACGUGCUACAAUGGCGCAUACAAGGAGAAGCGACCUCGCGAGAGCAAGCGGACCUCAUAAAGUGCGUCGUAGUCCGGAUCGGAGUCUGCAACUCGACUCCGUGAAGUCGGAAUCGCUAGUAAUCGUGGAUCAGAAUGCCACGGUGAAUACGUUCCCGGGCCUUGUACACACCGCCCGUCACACCAUGGGAGUGGGUUGCAAAAGAAGUAGGUAGCUUAACCUUCGGGAGGGCGCUUACCACUUUGUGAUUCAUGACUGGGGUGAAGUCGUAACAAGGUAACCGUA